rnacentral:rRNA from 1 species
CACGUAGGGUGCGAGCGUUGUCCGGAAUUAUUGGGCGUAAAGAGCUCGUAGGCGGUCUGUCGCGUCGGCUGUGAAAACUCGGGGCUCAACCCCGAGCCUGCAGUCGAUACGGGCAGACUUGAGUGCUGUAGGGGAGACUGGAAUUCCUGGUGUAGCGGUGAAAUGCGCAGAUAUCAGGAGGAACACCGGUGGCGAAGGCGGGUCUCUGGGCAGUAACUGACGCUGAGGAGCGAAAGCGUGGGGAGCGAACAGG